rnacentral:sRNA from 20 species
GCGCCUAAUGGCAAGGCUACUUAUAUUUCAUCAUAACUACCAUAGAAAAAGUAUCGUAAAGGAGUUAUGAUAUAAU